ensembl:lncRNA
AAAAACGCGUGAUUUUUGUGCUUAAUUGGCGGAUUUGCGAAGAGAAAACUCGUGGUUUUUUGUGUUAAUUGAGGGAUUUGCGAAGAGAAAACGCGUGACUUUCGCUUAAAUGUGGGAUUUGAGAAAACGCGUGAUUUUCGCUUAAAUGUUGGAUUCUCGGAGAGAAAACGCGUGAUUUUCGCUUAAAUGGGGGAUUUCAGAAAAGAAAACGCGUGAUUUUCGGGUUAAAUGGAAGAUUCCUGAAGAGAAAAUGCGUGUUUUUUGCUUAAACGGCGGAUUUGUGAAGAGAAAAUGCGUGUUUUUUGCUUAAAUGGGGGAUUUGCGAAGAGAAAACGCGUGGUUUUCUGGUUAAAUGGAAGAUUCCUGAAGAGAAAACGCGUGAUUUUUGCUUAAAUGGGGGAUUUGUGAAGAGAAAACGCGUGUUUUUCGCUUAAAUGGGGGAUUUCUGAAGAGAAAACGCGUGAUUUUCGGGUUAAAUGGAAGAUUCCUGAAGAGAAAACGCGUGAUUUUCAAGUUAAAUGGGGGAUUUGCAAAGAGAAAACGUGUGAUUUUUGCUUAAAUGGUGUAUUUGAGAAGAGAAAAUUUGUGAUUUUCGCAUAAAUGGGGGAUUCUCAAAGAGAAAACGCUUGAUUUUCACUUAAAAUGACGAUUCUCAAAGAGAAAACGUGAGAUUUUCACUUAAAUGGGGGUUUUGCGAAGGGAAAACGUGUGAUUUUCGCUUAAAUGGGGGAUUUUGAAGAGAAAACUCGUGGUUUUUUGUGUUAAUUGGGGGAUUUGCGAAGGGAAAACGCGUGAUUUUCGGGUUAAAUGGGGGAUUUUCGAAGUAAAAACGCGUGUUUUUCUGGUAAAAUGGGGGAUUUGCGAAGAGAAAACGUGAUUUUCAAGUUAAAUGGGGGAUUCGCGAAGAGAAAACGCGUGAUUUUCGCUUAAAUGGGGGAUUUGCGAAGAGAAAACGCGUGACUUUCGCUUAAAUGUGGGAUUUGAGAAAACGCGUGAUUUUCGCUUAAAUGUUGGAUUCUCGGAGAGAAAACGCGUGAUUUUCGCUUAAAUGGGGGAUUUCUGAAAAGAAAACGCGUGAUUUUCGGGUUAAAUGGAAGAUUCCUGAAGAGAAAAUGCGUGUUUUUUGCUUAAACGGCGGAUUUGUGAAGAGAAAAUGCGUGUUUUUCGGGUUAAAUGGAAGAUUCCUGAAGAGAAAAACGCGUGAUUUUUGCUUAAAUGGGGGAUUUGUGAAGAGAAAAACGCGUGUUUUUCGCUUAAAUGGGGGAUUUCUGAAGAGAAAACGCGUGGUUUUCGGGUUAAAUGGAAGAUUCCUGAAGAGAAAACGCGUGAUUUUCAAGUUAAAUGGGGGAUUUGCAAAGAGAAAACGUGUGAUUUUUGCUUAAAUGGUGUAUUUGAGAAGAGAAAAUUUGUGAUUUUCGCAUAAAUGGGGGAUUCUCAAAGAGAAAACGCUUGAUUUUCACUUAAAUUGACGAUUCGCAAAGAGAAAACGCGAGAUUUCCACUUAAAUGGGGGUUUUGCGAAGGGAAAAUGUGUGAUUUUCGCUUAAAUGGGGGAUUUUUGAAGAGAAAACUCAUGGUUUUUUGUGUUAAAUGGGGGAUUUGCGAAGAGAAAACGCGUGACUUUCGCUUAAAUGUGGGAUUUGAGAAAACACAUGAUUUUCACUUAAAUGUUGGAUUCUCGAAGUGAAAACGCGUGAUUUUCGCUUAAGUGUUGGAUUCUCGGAGAGAAAACACGUGAUUUUCGCUUAAAUGGGGGAUUUCCGAAAAGAAAACGCGUGAUUUUCUGGUUAAAUGGGGGAUUUGCGAAGAGAAAACGCGUGUUUUUCGCUUAAAUGGGGGACUUGCAAAUUGAAAAUGUGCGAUUAUCGGGUUAAAUGGGGGAUUUUCGAAG